AACGAACGCUGGCGGCAUGCCUAACACAUGCAAGUCGAACGAGACCUUCGGGGCUAGUGGCGCACGGGUGCGUAACGCGUGGGAACCUGCCCUUAGGUUCGGAAUAACUCCCCGAAAGGGGUGCUAAUACCGGAUAAUGUCUUCGGACCAAAGAUUUAUCGCCUUUGGAUGGGCCCGCGUUGGAUUAGCUAGUUGGUAGGGUAAAAGCCUACCAAGGCGACGAUCCCUAGCUGGUCUGAGAGGAUGAUCAGCCACACUGGGACUGAGACACGGCCCAGACUCCUACGGGAGGCAGCAGUGGGGAAUAUUGGACAAUGGGCGAAAGCCUGAUCCAGCAAUGCCGGGUGAGUGAUGAAGGCCUUAGGGUUGUAAAGCUCUUUUACCCGGGAUGAUAAUGACAGUACCGGGAGAAUAAGCUCCGGCUAACUCCGUG
rnacentral:rRNA from 1 species